rnacentral:misc_RNA from 1 species
AACAUCGCGCACCUGCGGGAACCUGCGGAGGGAUCAUUAGUGAAUGAACUUGGUCAAGUUGUUGCUGGUUCUUUUAGAGCAUGUGCACACUUGGCUCUCGUUUCUAAACCACUUGUGCACCUUUUGUAGACUUGGGAGUUUGAUUCAAGAGUGAUCUUGGACCUUACGCUCUUGUCUAUGUCUUUUCAUGUCAUUUACUCUGUGUAUAAGAAUGUUUUCUAAGGUAUUUUUGAUGCCUUU